AGUGGCGGACGGGUGAGUAACGCGUGGGUAACCUGUCUCAUACAGGGGGAUAACAGUUAGAAAUGACUGCUAAUACCGCAUAAGACCACAGCACCGCAUGGUGUAGGGGUAAAAACUCCGGUGGUAUGAGAUGGACCCGCGUCUGAUUAGGUAGUUGGUGGGGUAACGGCCUACCAAGCCGACGAUCAGUAGCCGACCUGAGAGGGUGACCGGCCACAUUGGGACUGAGACACGGCCCAA
rnacentral:rRNA from 1 species